UACGUAGGGUCCGAGCGUUUGUCCGGAAUUACUGGGCGUAAAGAGCUCGUAGGUGGUUUGUCGCGUUGUUCGUGAAAACUCACAGCUCAACUGUGGGCGUGCGGGCGAUACGGGCAGACUAGAGUACUGCAGGGGAGACUGGAAUUCCUGGUGUAGCGGUGGAAUGCGCAGAUAUCAGGAGGAACACCGAUGGCGAAGGCAGGUCACUGGGCCGCAACUGACGCUGAGGAGCGAAAGCAUGGGGAGCGAACAGG
rnacentral:rRNA from 1 species